rnacentral:rRNA from 1 species
GACGAACGCUGGCGGCGUGCUUAACACAUGCAAGUCGAACGGAAAGGCUCCAGCUUGCUGGAGUACUCGAGUGGCGAACGGGUGAGUAACACGUGGGUAAUCUGCCCUGCACUCUGGGAUAAGCCUGGGAAACUGGGUCUAAUACUGGAUAUGACCUUUCUCCUUAUGGGGGUUGGUGGAAAGUUUUUCGGUGUGGGAUGGGCCCGCGGCCUAUCAGCUUGUUGGUGGGGUGAUGGCCUACCAAGGCGACGACGGGUAGCCGGCCUGAGAGGGUGAUCGGCCACAUUGGGACUGAGAUACGGCCCAGACUCCUACGGGAGGCAGCAGUGGGGAAUAUUGCACAAUGGGCGGAAGCCUGAUGCAGCGACGCCGCGUGAGGGAUGACGGCCUUCGGGUUGUAAACCGCUUUCAGCAGUGACGAAGCGUAAGUGACGGUACCUGCAGAAGAAGCACCGGCUAACUAUGUG